UACGUAGGGUGCAAGCGUUAAUCGGAAUUACUGGGCGUAAAGCGUGCGCAGGCGGUUAUGCAAGACAGAGGUGAAAUCCCCGGGCUCAACCUGGGAACUGCCUUUGUGACUGCAUAGCUAGAGUACGGUAGAGGGGGAUGGAAUUCCGCGUGUAGCAGUGAAAUGCGUAGAUAUGCGGAGGAACACCGAUGGCGAAGGCAAUCCCCUGGACCUGUACUGACGCUCAUGCACGAAAGCGUGGGGGAGCAAACAGG
rnacentral:rRNA from 1 species